AUUGAACGCUGGCGGCAGGCCUAACACAUGCAAGUCGAACGAGUGGCGGACGGGUGAGUAAUGUCUGGGAAACUGCCCGAUGGAGGGGGCUAACUACUGGAAACGGUAGCUAAUACCGCAUUCCAUCGGAUGUGCCCAGAUGUGAUUAGCUAGUAGGUGGGGUAACGGCUCACCUAGGCGACGCUCCCUACCUGGUCUGAGAGGAUGACCAGCGAAACUGGGGUGAUGAAAGGGUCGAGACUCCUACGGCGGGCAGGAGUGGGGAAGAUUGCACAGUGGGCGCAAGACAUAUGCAGCCGUGGCGCAAGAAGGAAGAAGGCCUGGGGGUUGUAGAGUUGUUCCAGCGAGGAGGCGUUACUGGCAGAAGAAGCACCGGCUAACUCCGUGCCAGCAACCGCGGUAAUUC
rnacentral:rRNA from 1 species